rnacentral:rRNA from 1 species
GACGGACGCUGGCGGCGUGCCUAAUGCAUGCAAGUCGAGCGAGCUACAGUCUUCGGAUUGUAGCUUAGCGGCGAACGGGUGAGUAACACGUAGGUGAUCUACCCUUCAGAGGAGGACAACUUCAGGAAACUGAGGCUAAACCUUCAUACGUUCACUGGUAGGGAUACUGGUGAAGAAAGAGUUACCUUAGUGGUAGCUGCUGAAGGAUGAGCCUGCGGCCCAUCAGGUAGUUGGUGAGGUAACGGCUCACCAAGCCGAAGACGGGUAACCGGUCUGAGAGGAUGUCCGGUCACACUGGGACUGAGACACGGCCCAGACUCCUACGGGAGGCAGCAGCAGGGAAUCUUGGGCAAUGGGCGAAAGCCUGACCCAGCGACGCCGCGUGGAGGAAGAAGUCCUUCGGGGCGUAAACUCCUGGACUGGGGGACGAGGAAGGACGGUACCCCAGUAGAAAGGGACGGCUAACUACGUGCCAGCAGCCGCGGUAAAACGUAGGUCCCGAGCGUUGUUCGGAUUCACUGGGUGUAAAGGGCGCGUAGGUGGUUGUCUGUGUCUCAUGUGAAAACUCAGGGCUCAACUCUGAGAUUGCGUGGGAAACUAGGCAGCUAGAGGACGGUAGAGGGGAGUGGAAUUCCCGGUGUAGCGGUAAAAUGCGUAGAUAUCGGGAGGAACACCGGUGGCGAAGGCGGCUCUCUGGGCCGAUCCUGACGCUGAGGCGCGAAAGCUAGGGGAGCGAACC